rnacentral:rRNA from 1 species
GCAAGUCGAGCGCUCUCUUCGGAGGGAGCGGCGAACGGGUGAGUAACGCGUGGGAACGUACCUUUUGGUUCGGGACAACCCUGGGAAACUGGGGCUAAUACCGAAUAAGCUCUACGGAGGAAAGAUUUAUUGCCAAAAGAUCGGCCCGCGUUGGAUUAGCUAGUUGGUGAGGUAAUGGCUCACCAAGACUACGAUAUAUAGCUGUUCUGAGAGGAUAGUC